UUCCUCCGGUUCCUCCCCCUAUUUCUCCCCUCUGUUAACUAUGAAUCUGAUCCCUUUUGCUGUGAUUUUGGUUUGUUUGUUUGUUUUUAGAUUCCGCAUGCAAGUGAGAUCAUACAGUAUUUGCCUUGCUCCUUCUGACUUAUUUGACUUUGCCUAAUGUCCUCAGGUUCCAUUCAUGUUAUCACAAACAGCAGAAUUUCCUUAUUUGUAGAUAUACCACAACUUGUUCAUGCAGUCAUUCAUGAACUUGUUUCCAUGUCUUGGCUAUUGUAAAUAAUGUUCGCUGUUAACUUAAUGCCUGAAGUAGUUGUCAGUUUUUGUCCCUCCCUCUUCCAACAUAUAGACACGUGUACUCAUAUACACGCAUAAAUAUACAAACACACACACACGCACACAUACAUACACGCAAGCUUCUUACACUCUGGAUGUCAGGAUGUGUGCAAUCUUCUUAGGGUCCCAUAUACAAUCAAAAGAGCUUUGGGUUUAAUGAGUGUUCAAAUACUGUAGCUGUCGAAAGCAGUACACAGAAGGAGGAAUGUUUUAAUCUCUGCAGCAUCUUUCUGGGGACUAGUGUUGCUUCACAAUAGCCAGUGCAUGCGGUAGAAAGGAGCUACUGUUGAGUCAAUGUUACCAGCUGCACAUCCCCUGGCACUUGUCCCGGCAGAUUAAGGUCCGGGAAACAGUGAAAGAAGAUAGAGCGCGGGGGUUGAAGCAAAGAAACUCACAGCAUUUGUGGGCAUCCUGCAUCCAGACCAAGUCCUGUGACCAGCUUUGCUUAUGGAAGGUGGAGCUCCACUAGGUCCAGGCCUCAGAGGAUCCUUCCUGUGAAGACAGGCCCCUCAGCAGCCACAAGCAGCCUCUUCAUGGCCUCAGUUGCGAAUCUGAGGAACAAGAUAGAGACUUCUGGUUUCUGGUCUGGCCAAGGAACUAUUGAGAAAACUGUCAACACAGGAAAGCAGACUCUUGGAAGGAGGAAGUGACUUGCCUGAGGACAAGUUUCUGUGGAAUUCCUCCUACUGUCUUCAUAAUAUCCAACUCAAAGGAGCAUCUGUACGUGCUGGCCCUGAAUGAAGCUCUUCAAGUGCGUCAUCUUGCUUAAUCUUCAUAAGGAUUGUUUAGAAUGGGACUUUCAUUACCUCAUUCUCAUAUAAGGAAACUGAUGUAAAGAGAGGUAUGCCAUCUGUUCAGAACCAGGGAAUGUUCUGAACACCAUACAAUGUCAG
rnacentral:lncRNA from 1 species